rnacentral:rRNA from 1 species
UACGUAGGGGGCAAGCGUUGUCCGGAAUCAUUGGGCGUAAAGCGCGCGUAGGCGGCCCGGUAAGUCCGUUGUGAAAGUCAAAGGCUCAACCUUUGAACGCCGAUGGAUACUGCCGGGCUAGAGUCCGGAAGAGGCGAGUGGAAUUCCUGGUGUAGCGGUGGAAUGCGCAGAUAUCAGGAGGAACACCAAUAGCGAAGGCAGCUCGCUGGGACGGUACUGACGCUGAGACGCGAAAGCGUGGGGAGCAAACAGG